rnacentral:rRNA from 1 species
UGGGGAAUUUUGGACAAUGGGCGCAAGCCUGAUCCAGCCAUGCCGCGUGUCUGAAGAAGGCCUUCGGGUUGUAAAGGACUUUUGUCAGGGAAGAAAAGGACAGGGUUAAUACCCCUGUCUGAUGACGGUACCUGAAGAAUAAGCACCGGCUAACUACGUGCCAGCAGCCGCGGUAAUACGUAGGGUGCGAGCGUUAAUCGGAAUUACUGGGCGUAAAGCGAGCGCAGACGGUUACUUAAGCAGGAUGUGAAAUCCCCGGGCUCAACCUGGGAACUGCGUUCUGAACUGGGUGACUAGAGUGUGUCAGAGGGAGGUAGAAUUCCACGUGUAGCAGUGAAAUGCGUAGAGAUGUGGAGGAAUACCGAUGGCGAAGGCAGCCUCCUGGGAUAACACUGACGUUCAUGCUCGAAAGCGUGGGUAGCAAACAGGAUUAGAUACCCUGGUAGUCCACGCCCUAAACGAUGUCAAUUAGCUGUUGGGCAACUUGAUUGCUUAGUAGCGUAGCUAACGCGUGAAAUUGACCGCCUGGGGAGUACGGUCGCAAGAUUA